rnacentral:rRNA from 1 species
CACGUAGGGUCCAAGCGUUGUCCGGAUUUAUUGGGCGUAAAGAGCUCGUAGGCGGCUUGGUAAGUCGAGUGUGAAAACUCUGGGCUCAACUCAGAGACGCCACUCGAUACUGCCAUGGCUUGAGUCCGGUAGGGGAGUGUGGAAUUCCCGGUGUAGCGGUGAAAUGCGCAGAUAUCGGGAGGAACACCAGUAGCGAAGGCGGCACUCUGGGCCGGAACUGACGCUGAGGAGCGAAAGCGUGGGGAGCAAACAGG